rnacentral:rRNA from 1 species
UAGCCGUAAACGAUACUCGCUAGGUGUCGGCCACGGUGCGACCGUUGUCGGUGCCGUAGGGAAGCCGUGAAGCGAGCCACCUGGGAAGUACGGCCGCAAGGCUGAAACUUAAAGGAAUUGGCGGGGGAGCACAACAACGGGUGGANCUUGCGGUUUAAUUGGAUUCAACGCCGGAAAUCUUACCGGGACCGACAGCAACAUGAAGGCCAAGCUGAAGACUUUGCCGGAUUAGCUGAGAGGUGGUGCAUGGCGUAGUCGUGU